rnacentral:lncRNA from 10 species
CUUUGGUUGGUCUCCUCAGGUUACAUUUCCCUUCCAGCUUCAUCUCGGAAAUAAAGGAAGGAGAAACCCACGGGGAGGGAGGACGAGGAACACCUCGACCCAUCAACCAGCCUGUACCUAAGAGGGCAAGGGAGGUGGGAAGCGGAGGCGAGAAAAGCAGGGAUAGAGACCCCGAGGCCCAGCCCCUGUUCCCCCAGACUCUGCCCCUCCCCGGCCCCACUCCCCGCAGGCACAGCACAUGCAGACGCACACAUUCUUUUCAAAUGUCAUAUUUCCUUUGAUCCUGGGCAGCGUUUCUCCAUGUGUCUGGCUCAGCUCCUGCCCAGCCAACCGCCUUCCCCUCUCACCCCUGUUUGUUUUCCUGGAGAACCCUCCUCCUCCUAGCAUCUGGAAGGCCCUGAGGGCUGGCGUCGGCCCUCAUUCCCCUGAUGACUCUGGCCUCUCCUCCCAUGACUCAAUUUCCCCUUCAUGGGUGUUGGGGGGUAGGGAAGGGAGGAGCAGAGGGGAGAGUGGUUGAGAUUGUUCAGAGUGCCAAGCUUCUCUGAGGCGGGGGGCGGGGGGGCAUCCCCUUGACUCUGAAAACCCUCCAAUCUGUCUCGGCUGCGGCAGAGAGAUGGAACUUAUGACUUCUGAAAUGCUCGGCCUGGCGUUGGAGCCUGGGCAACAGCGGGUAGUUGCGGAUUUAAGUUGCCCUACACUUCUGCCCCCUGGCGACCAGAAAGACCCAGCCCCCCCGUCCUUGGUUCGCGGUUUCUCUAGCCGCCUGGCCUCGGUCUCAGCUCCGCUGCCUCCUAGCGCACAUACCGGAGCACAACCCGGCUUUCUUACCUUGGUUGGUGGCUUCUGCUCUGCACUUUAACAAGCAUCAUUCAACUUCCUUGGAGGUGGAUGUUAUUUAUUUCUUUUUUUAAUUACACAAGAUGCAGUCUUCUCUUUUCCCCAGAGGUCUAAAUAAAGCUAAUUAAUAUGCAUUCUUCUUGUAAACAAUUCAAGCUAUACAAAAAUAUGUAGUAAACCUUGAUGGUCCACCAUUUUGUAUGCCUUUAUUAACAUGUACGCACACACACAUGCUCUUUUUAUGCGCGUGACAAGCAUUUUUCUUGCUUUUUUUUUUCCUCACUUAACAAAUGGUUGGAAGAUCUUCUCCCAUAGUACCAUCUGAAAAUGAUGAUGAAAAUGCCCACCUUUUCAGUAGAUAAA